rnacentral:rRNA from 1 species
GACAGAGGGUGCAACCGUUGUUCGGAAUUACUGGGCGUAAAGCGUGUGUAGGCGGCUACGUAAGUCGGAUGUGAAAGCCCCAGGCUCAACCUGGGAAGUGCACUCGAUACUGCGUAGCUUGAGUAUCGGAGAGGUUGGUGGAAUUCUCGGUGUAGAGGUGAAAUUCGUAGAUAUCGAGGGGAACACCGGUGGCGAAGGCGGCCAACUGGACGAAUACUGACGCUGAGACACGAAAGCGUGGGGAGCAAACAGG